GACGAACGCUGGCGGCGUGCUUAACACAUGCAAGUCGAACGGAAAGGCCCUUCGGGGUACUCGAGUGGCGAACGGGUGAGUAACACGUGGGUGAUCUGCCCUGCACUUUGGGAUAAGCCUGGGAAACUGGGUCUAAUACCGGAUAGGACCACGCGCUUCAUGGUGUGUGGUGGAAAGCUUUUGAGGUGUGGGAUGGGCCCGCGGCCUAUCAGCUUGUUGGUGGGGUAAUGGCCUACCAAGGCGACGACGGGUAGCGGGCCUGAGAGGGUGACCGGCCACACUGGGACUGAGAUACGGCCCAGACUCCUACGGGAGGCAGCAGUGGGGAAUAUUGCACAAUGGGCGCAAGCCUGAUGCAGCGACGCCGCGUGAGGGAUGACGGCCUUCGGGUUGUAAACCUCUUUCGCCAGGGACGAAGCGCAAGUGACGGUACCUGGAGAAGAAGGACCGGCCAACUACGUGCCAGCAGCCGCCGUAA
rnacentral:rRNA from 1 species